AAUAUUUCUUCGUCUUCGUAGAUAAAUAGAAAAUAUUUAAAUAGAAUUUAAUUUCGAAUUAAAUGUAAUGAAUGGAACGAUAUAAAAUUUGGAAAUGAGUAUCUUUAUUUCCGAGAACGUUCGUUCUAACCCGAACGAUAGUGGCAAAGGUCGAAAUAAAGAGAAGACGAAGGAAAAAAAAGAUAGAAAAUAAAAAGGAGAAAAAGAAAAUCGGAUAGUGAAGCGAGGAGGUAUCGGAAGGAGAGUUACACUGCCUACAUAGCAAAAAAGGAAUGACGCCGGUAUUUUUAAUGGGAAGCCGAAGGCGAGUUGAAUAGAACGAGCUUUUGGGUCCCUCGCGAGGACGUCGUGCGCUUCUACAAGGGUUCAAAGCGAGAGCCAAGUUCUAACAAGCCUGAGGCUUCGUGCCCCUGGCCCCUGGAUGUCUCCUUUAAAUAAUCCACCGGACGAUUCAUUCGAUCGUUCAAGCAUGAUGAAGAAAGAUUCUUUCGAUGUCCGCCUCAGUUAUCAAGAUAAUUUCUAUGAUAAAAGCUACGUGGACGAUUCUCCAAAAAUUCUAUCACCAUCUCUUAAGAGAAAUUCCAGGUAAUUUAUAAUUCAUUGAGAAUAAUCUUUGAAACGACAGUUCCAUCAUUAUCCUUCCGACAUGAAACUUUUUUAUUCUUCUGUGAAUGCUCUGUGAGAGCAUGUUUUCUGUGACGGAGAAUCUCUUCGCUUUAUUUUCGUUCCUUCGUAUAUUCAAGGAAGAAAAGUAAAAUUUUCCUUUUUACGUUUUUUAUUUAUUUAUUUUUUCUUUUUACUACCUGAUCUACCAUAGACAUAA